rnacentral:rRNA from 1 species
CUGAACCUUCGGGGAACGAUAACGGCGUCGAGCGGCGGACGGGUGAGUAAUGCCUAGGAAAUUGCCCUGAUGUGGGGGAUAACCAUUGGAAACGAUGGCUAAUACCGCAUGAUGCCUACGGGCCAAAGAGGGGGACCUUCGGGCCUCUCGCGUCAGGAUAUGCCUAGGUGGGAUUAGCUAGUUGGUGAGGUAAGGGCUCACCAAGGCGACGAUCCCUAGCUGGUCUGAGAGGAUGAUCAGUCCACACUGGAACUGAGACACGGUCCAGACUCCUACGGGAGGCAGCAGUGGGGAAUAUUUGCACAAUGGGCGCAAGCCUGAAUGCAGCCAUGCCGCGUGUGUGAAGAAGGCCUUCGGGUUGUAAAGCACUUUCAGUCGUGAGGAAGGUAGUGUAGUUAAUAGCUGCAUUAUUUGACGUUAGCGACAGAAGAAGCACCGGCUAACUCCGUGCCAGCAGCCGCGGUAAUACGGAGGGGUGCGAGCGUUAAUCGGAAUUACUGGGCGUAAAGCGCAUGCAGGUGGUUUGUUAAGUCAGAUGUGAAAGCCCGGGGCUCAACCUCGGAAUAGCAUUUGAAACUGGCAGACUAGAGUACUGUAGAGGGGGGUAGAAUUUCAGGUGUAGCGGUGAAAUGCGUAGAGAUCUGAAGGAAUACCGGUGGCGAAGGCGGCCCCCUGGACAGAUACUGACACUCAGAUGCGAAAGCGUGGGGAGCAAACAGGAUUAGAUACCCUGGUAGUCCACGCCGUAAACGAUGUCUACUUGGAGGUUGUGGCCUUGAGCCGUGGCUUUCGGAGCUAACGCGUUAAGUAGACCGCCUGGGGAGUACGGUCGCAAGAUUAAAACUCAAAUGAAUUGACGGGGGCCCGCACAAGCGGUGGAGCAUGUGGUUUAAUUCGAUGCAACGCGAAGAACCUUACCUACUCUUGACAUCCAGAAGAACUUUCCAGAGAUGGAUUGGUGCCUUCGGGAACUCUGAGAACAGGUGCCUGCAUGGCUGUCGUCAGCUCGUGUUGUGAAAUGUUGGGUUAAGUCCCGCAACGAGCGCAACCCUUAUCCUUGUUUGCCAGCGAGUAAUGUCGGGAACUCCAGGGAGACUGCCGGUGAUAAACCGGAGGAAGGUGGGGACGACGUCAAGUCAUUCAUGGCCCUUACCGAGUUAGCGGCUACACACGUGCUACAAUGGCGCAUACAGAGGGCGGCCAACUUGCGAAAGUGAGCGAAUCCCAAAAAGUGCGUCGUAGUCCGGAUUGGAGUCUGCAACUCGACUCCAUGAAGUCGGAAUCGCUAGUAAUCGUGGAUCAGAAUGCCACGGUGAAUACGUUCCCGGGCCUUGUACACACCGCCCGUCACACCAUGGGAGUGGGCUGCAAAAGAAGUA